rnacentral:tRNA from 3 species
GCCCCAUUGGCGGAAUUGGUAGACGCGCGCGACUCAAAAUCGCGUUCCUUCGGGAGUAUCUGUUCGACUCAGAUAUGGGGCACCA